GACAAGAGGAUUUUUAUUUUAAUUUAUUGGGUAAAGAGGAAGUUUCUCUUUUAUUAUAAAUACAUGAAGGACCAUUUGUUUUUCUUUAAAACUUCAACAUACACACAUUUUAACCAAAUACACACACAACACAGAUAUACCAAACACACUAUAAAACUUUGGACCUCAUUUUCUCUUCUUCUCCAAUGGCCAUAUCGCCGGCAAACAAACAUUGACGAUGACAAACCCCAUUUUCCCUACUACCAACCUCUCAUUUUCUCAUUUUUUUCGACCAAGCAUUGUCCAACAAGCACACCACCACCGCCGCCAAAACUCCAACAAGUCUUACCACCGCCGCGUCCCUUUUUCCUUCCUUUUCCUCUUUCCUCUCUCCCUUUUUCCUCUAUCCUGUCAUGCCUCGCAGGAGUUGAUCACCGGCGGGAGAAGCUCCAGUCUCCACCACCAUCGAUGCCACCCCAAUUUUCACUUUAUUUUUCCCUCUUCACUAUCCUUCCUCUCCAUUCGUCAUACCAUUGAUGGCUAGAUUUGGCUGGGACUUUGUGUAUUCGGCGUUGCUCCGACGAAAGGCGUUGAAGCUACACCGGUUCUUGGGAACACUUGUACAAAAGGGCACUCAAAAGAAGAGUUCGAGUUUUUUAUGUUUGUAUUUUUACGUUCUUUCAAUUGUACAAAUAAUAUUCUAGUAAGAACUUUAUUUUUUGGGUGUUA